rnacentral:piRNA from 1 species
UGACAUGAACACAAGGGUGCACCCAAAGC